GACAGAGGUGCCGAGCGUUAGGCGGAAUCACUGGGCUUAAAGCGUGUGUAGGCGGAUGGGUAAGUACCUUGUGAAAUCCCACGGCUCAACCGUGGAACUGCUCGGUAUACUGCCCGUCUUGAGCCAGCUAGGGGCAACCGGAACAAACGGUGGAGCGGUGAAAUGCGUAGAUAUGUGGAGGAAUACCGAUGGCGAAGGCAGCCCCCUGGGAUAACACUGACGCUCAUGCACGAAAGCGUGGGGAGCAAACAGG
rnacentral:rRNA from 1 species